AAUUCAAGUUCGGAAGGCUCUGCCAUACAUCCGCACCUAGAGCCCAUAUGAUGUUGCUAAAAUUUCAGAUCUCACAUUCCUUUAGAGCUCUUGCAAUUCCGCUUUGCUCACAGAUCACAGUGCUUUGAUGCAGGCGUGCCAUGCUAGAUCCCCAUGCCAGUGUCUUCCAUGGCUCACAAUUCCGUCCAAAUUUCUUCCAAGAAACCUUGAGAAACACCUUGUAACACUUCUGACCUCCAUUUGCGGGCUUGUCUUGUGAUCUGCAGAAUCUUCUCAAGACAAUGGAAGCAGUUCAGUUUCCUGGUAGAGCUGGCAGACUGUCCAGGUUUCACAGGCAUACACCCAUGAAGUCAGCACAAUGGCUGUGUAGACCUUCAGUUUGGAGGGCAGAUUAAUACUUCUCUCCCACUCUUUGGCUCCUUUGGAGCCUCCCAAACACAGUAUCUCUAGUUCAUAAUGCAUGCAUCAAUCUCACCAUCUACGUACACAUCCCUGGAAAAUAUACUGCCAAGGACCUGUAGAUGACUAUGGUUCUGUAAGGACUACUAUAGGAAGAAAAUAAGGGAGAAAAGUGGAUGCAUCUGGGUUCAGCUCUCUCGACUGUGUUCUACAACCUACUUGAUGGCCCAGAGGAAAAGCAGCCUAGAGGAAAAGCAACCCAGAGGAAAAGCAACCCAGUGGAAAAGCAUCCCAGAGGAAAAGCAUCCCAGAGGAAAAUAUUUUAAAUCAGCCCAGAGGAAAAGCAUCAAGAAAAGAUGCUAGAGACAAGAAACAAAGAGGAAAAGCUGAAAUGGACAGCUAAGACUUUGAACUGUAAUAAUAUUUUUAAUAAUACCAGAGACUGAAAAACUCCUUGACAUGGCAUACUAUUUGCAAAAAAUGAUUCUGCAAAAUGACACACUGCUUCAAUUUGGGCUUACUGGCAUCACAUGCAUCAUUGAUAAAGGAUAAAGAGAUUAGAGUUUCCUUUGCCCCUGAAACUUUAGCAGUGAAAUAAGUCUUCUGAAAAAAUGCAUUAUGGGAGAAUACUAUUCAUUAUCUACAUCUACACUUUGAGUAGAAUUGACGUGGGCAAAGGGAGAAUGAAUGAAGGGACGAGCAAUUACACUGGUAAAGGAGACAAGGAGCCCUGUCUGAAAGUUUGCUGGGAUUCAUGAAAUCAAAUUGCAUGCAGAGAUCCUUGAGAGCCACCAGAUGGCAGGAGUGGUAUGUGUAGGCAUUUGUGGAGCAGAGACCUUUGAGUUGACAUCUUUUAGGGAAAAAUGCCACCGAUCCAAAUUGCUGAAGAAAAUUAAUACCGGCAAGGAAAGAUAAAGCAAGACAUGAUAAAAAAAAAGUCUUUGGGUGAAUUUUAUUGUUGAUGAAAAGUGGAGAUUGGCAGUGCAAGAGGCUAGAGUUUUACAAAAGGACCUGAAAUACUUCCAAUGGGCUUGCCUAAAAUGAGUGUGCCUGAGUUAAAAACUAUCCAGUUUUCUCUUUUCUCCAACUGAAAUGACCCAUAAACCAUCCUACUCCCUCAUUCUUCUCAUGCUACACUGUCCAGAAAUGCUAUUCAAUGAUCAACUAAUGUUGUCAACCAGAUGGUCAGAAAAUCUACCUGAUAGAAGAAAAGUAACUUAGUUGGAGAUAAGUUUAAAUCAGAAAACAGCCUUACUCCUGCAAUAAGAGGCAAAAUAAGAUUUCUUUCUGCACAACAUUUCUGAUGGGAUAUGAUGUCUACAAGAUGUCUUGUAAUGUGCAAGCUCGAUGAUUAUGGUUUUCAUGCAGCCUGACAUUUGCACGAUAGGAAUGCAAAAAAUCUUAGUAUCUUGAUCAUGUGAUUACAAAGUUGAUAAGGUGUGAUUAUGGGGUAAAUGAAGGGAAGGUUCAGUGUAUAAAAACACAAAUGAGAACAUGCCAUCCAUUAGGAAUGGAUUUGUUCUUUAAUGGCAAACCCGUGUGGUGGUUUGGAAAUAAUUUGAUGACAAGUUUAGAAGCUAUAAGUACAUAUUUCCCUUAGAAACAGUAAGAAAUUGGUUGCAGUCACUGAACUGAAACCAAAAUGACUUUACUCAUGAUGAUGAAUUGCUCUAGAAGCAAACAUAAUUAAAAGAAUGCACAUGCUCAUUAUCACAGAAGAAUAUACAUGUUCAUGAACCACUAAAUAGGAAACACUGAUCUAAAUAAUUACACAUCCAAAAAAUGCCCCUGAAAUAUUUAUAAGACUUAUUAUCCCUUCCACCAUCUUUAUCCAGAGGAAGGGACUUAGAGCUGGAAGGGACUUUGUAAUCCAUCAAGUCUAACAUCCUCAUUUUACAAAUAAGGAAACUGAGAUACAGAAUGUUAAGUGACUUGUCUAGGGUCACAAAACUAGUCUGAAGCUGAUUUUGAACUCAGGUCCCUCUGAUUCCAAGCCAGAUGUUUUAUCCUUCAUAAAACCUAACUGCUCUUUUGGGAGCUGGCUCAGAACAGGACUUAGGAGGGCCAGAGUCAAGAAAUGAUGAAGCUCUGGUGUUUCUCCCAGUCAAAGUGCUUUGAGACUUCUUUAAUAUCUCCCAGGCUGACCUGACACUUUUACAGCAUACAUAGAACUUACUGCUGUCAGAAGAAUAUAUGUGGAGUAAGUUGGGUUGUGUGUAGCAGAUAUGUCUUGGUGUGCAGCUGAAUAGAGGAAAAUGCCUCUCUCUGUUUAGGGAAAAACUUGGGGAGAACUGAGCUCUGUGAGCAGGACUGAGAAGAUACAAGGAGCCCAUUAUGUAUGAUGGAGCCAGGAAAGCUAGCUAGUUUCCCAGUAAUGAGAAACUAAUAUACUGUAGUUCCUAUAAUUCUGGAACAUGGAAAAAACAGCAGGACAACCUGCCAACUACUGUUUGAAAAGCUCUGGGAAUAAAUAGGCUUCCCCGUCCUCAAACACUGCAUAAUUCGUGUGGACCUAAUUUUAAUAUAUUCUGAUAUUUCCUUAGAGCAAUGCAGGGAAAUGGCAAAGGGGUGAAGUAGAAAUCUCAUUAGAGAGUCUAUUUUAUGUGCUCUCACACAAGGGAACCCCUUAUGUCUUCUGGAAUGGCCACCCAGAGAUCUUGUUUAUACAAGCUUGAUUUAUUCCAAGGUGGUAGCAUUGAUCAUCUCAGGGACCUUUUAGAGAGUUCACCCUUCACUCUCACCUGUUUUUUCUUAGAACCAGAGACUUGGCCAUGAAGUACAGGGUUGAAAGAUCUGAGUUCAAAACAUACCUCAGGCACUUACUAGUCGUGUGACCCCGGUACCUCAAUUUCUUCAUCUGUAAAAUGAAAAUAAUAAUACUACCCAGCUCACAAUAUUACUGUGAGGACCAAGUGAGGUAACAUAUGUAAGAAGCUUUGUAAACCUGAAAAGUGUUAUAUAAAUGUUAUCUGUUAUUAUCUUUAUCUCUUUCCCCCCAAUUUCAUUAAUGCCUUCUUUUAAUAUCACUAUCACUUCUUGGUAACCAUACAUUCCUAUUUUAUAACAAAUAACACCUAUUUAUACAGUGCUUUAAAGUUUGUAAAGCACUUUUCAAAUAUUAUAUAAUUUUAUCGAUACAACAACCCUUGGAGGUAGAUGCUAUUAUUAUCUCCAUUUUUAUAGACAAGGAUAUAGAAGCUACUUGACUUGUC